GUCUCAACAACGAAGAAUCAGAGACACCUAACAAUUGUGGUUGCUGGUAUAAUCAAACGGCAGAACAGAGAGAAGAGGAACCAUAUUCCUUCUUCUGUCAGAACUCAGGUUGUGCUGCGAUUCCCCGUCCCUCUCCAGGAUCCAUUCUUCUCAAACUGUGCUGUUGCUGUUGACCAGUUGGUCUGUUACUGGUGCUGGAGUUUGGAUUUACCGAUCGCCUCUCUCUCUGCAUUGCGUUGUUGCCGUGAACAUCUGCCUGUUUCCAGUUGUGAGUUAGGAUUUGCUUGUUGGCUCUGUUUGCCCCUCGCCUGACCAUCCUGACACUGAUUCCCGUCUCACGAUCCGCAUUUGAUUUCCCUGGACU